rnacentral:rRNA from 1 species
GGUUUGAUCAUGGCUCAGAUUGAACGCUGGCGGGAUGUCUUUACACAUGCAAGUCGAACGGCACGGACUUCGGUCUGGUGGCGGAAGUGGCGAACGGGUGAGUAAUGUAUCGGAACGUGCCUAGUAGCGGGGGAUAACUACGCGAAAGCGUAGCUAAUACCGCAUACGCCCUUCGGGGAAAGCGAGACCUUCGGGCCUCGCGCACUAUUAGAGCAGCCGAUAUCGGAUUAGCUAGUUUGGUGGGGGUAACGGCUCACGAAGCGACGAUCCGCCAGCCCUGGUUUAGGAGGACGACCAGCCACUGGGACUGAGACACGGCCCAGACUCCUACAGGAGGCAGCAGUGGGGAAUUUUGAUUGUCGGGGAAGCUUCGAUCGACAUCCCGCGUGCGAUGAAGGCCUUCGGUUAAAAAACGCUGGCGGCGGCGUGCGGACCGUGGCGUGGCCGUGCCUGUGGGAUGCACCUAUUAUUAACAGCAGCGCAGUGCUACGUGGGGGUGGCGAUAAUCGGAGAUACCUGGCAUCGGCGCGCGCAGGCGUUCAGAAAAAGAAUGGCAAAAUCUCAAAGAGCCAGCACCCACAGGGUUCACCCCAACCUGAGCUAGAGUGUGUCAGAGGGAGGUGGAAUUCCGCGAUGUAGCAGUGAAAUGCGUAGAUAUGCGGAGGAACACCGAUGGCAGACAACCUCCUGGGAUAACACUGACGCUCAUGCACGAAAGCGUGGGAGCAAACAGGAUUAGAUACCUGGUAGUCCACGCCCUAAACGAUGUCAACUAGCUGUUGGGGCCUUCCGGGCCUUGUGGUAGCGCAACUAACGCGUGAAGUUGACCGCCUGGGGAGGUACGGUCGCAAGACAAAACUCAAAGGAAUUGACGGGGACCGCACGAAGCAGUGGAUGAUGUGGAUUAAUUCGAUGCAACGCGAAAAGCCUUCACCUACCCUUGACAUGUCUGGAAUCCCGAAGAGAUUUGGGAGUGCUCGCAAAAGAGAACCGGAACACAGGUGCUGCAUAGCGCUCGUCAGCUCGUCGUCGUGAGAUGUUGGUUAAGUCCCGCAACGAGCGCAACCCUUGUCAUUAGUUGCUACGAAAGGGCACUCUAAUGAGACUGCCGGUGACAAACCGGAGGAAGGUGGGGAUGACGUCAAGUCCUCAUGGCCCUUAUGGGCCAGGGCUUCACACGUCAUACAAUGGUCGGGACAGAGGGUCGCCAACCCGCGAGGGGAGCCAAUCCCAGAAACCCGAUCGUAGUCCGGAUCGCAGUCUGCAACUCGACUGCGUGAAGUCUCGAAUCGCUAGUAAUCGUGGGUCGAUGCCACGGUGAAUACGUUCCCGGGCCUUGUACACACCGCCCGUCACACCAUGGGAGUGGACUGCACCAAGUGGUUAGCCUAACGCAAGAGGGCGAUCACCACGGUGUGGUUCAUGACUGGGGUGAAGUCGUAACAAGGUAG